CAGCAGCCGCGGUAAUACGUAGGUCCCGAGCGUUGUCCGGAUUUAUUGGGCGUAAAGGGAGCGCAGGCGGUUUAGUAAGUCUGAAGUUAAAGGCAUUGGCUCAACCAAUGUAUGCUUUGGAAACUGUUAGACUUGAGUGCAGAAGAGGAGAGUGGAAUUCCACGUGUAGCGGUGAAAUGCGUAGAGAUGUGGAGGAACACCAGUGGCGAAGGCGACUCUCUGGUCUGUAACUGACGCUGAGGAGCGAAAGCGUGGGGAGCGAACAGGAUUAGAUACCCCCGUAGUCCCUGUCUCUUAUACA
rnacentral:rRNA from 1 species